rnacentral:rRNA from 1 species
CGGUAAUACGUAGGGUGCGAGCGUUAAUCGGAAUUACUGGGCGUAAAGCGUGCGCAGGCGGAUUGUUAAGCAAGAUGUGAAAUCCCCGGGCUUAACCUGGGAAUGGCAUUUUGAACUGGCAGUCUAGAGUGUGUCAGAGAGGGGUGGAAUUCCACGUGUAGCAGUGAAAUGCGUAGAUAUGUGGAGGAACACCAAUGGCGAAGGCAGCCCCCUGGGAUAACACUGACGCUCAUGUACGAAAGCGUGGGUAGCAAACAGGAUUAGAUACCCUGGUAGUCCACGCCCUAAACGAUGUCAACUGGUUGUUGGGGGAGUGAAAUCCCUUAGUAACGAAGCUAACGCGUGAAGUUGACCGCCUGGGGAGUACGGUCGCAAGAUUAAA